UGACCGUAUGAACGAGGUACGAGUGGUGAUUGACACUCAUGACCACCAAUCAGUGUCGAGAAGGCACUAUUUAGAGCGGGUUGGUUUUGAGCCUGGGAUGCGUCCCGUCCGUAUCCUCCCCGUUUUCGUUUACUCUAGCGAUUUCAGGUAUGUGCGGUUAGCAUGUAGCGUUGGCUAAUUCGUUUUUAGUUAUCUUUACUUGUUGCACUAAUGGCUCGUUUAUUGCACCCUUAGCCUGUCUUUUCAUCACUGUGUGUGUCCCUGUCGGAUGCUGUUCGGAUCUGUUUACUGCCCACCUUUCAGCGGGUUAUUUGAGGGCUGCGUAUCCUGAGCGGCGAAUUGAUCCUCGUGAACUCCUUUAUCCGCACUUGGAUUCUCACUCUCUUUUCGUCCUGGCCAUUAUCACUGCAGUUUACUUUUUUCCUCCACUGCGCACCGAGUGACUAAUAUUGGCCUACAAUCAUUUAAAGGGACUUCUGCUGCUACCAUCUGGUUUCUGGGAUAGUUUUAACUUGUUCUGGUCUACUUUGGGGUGGACGAUCGGGUAUUUCUUGGGGCCGGCCUAAGAACGACGUGGCCGCUCCUUUUUAAACAGGAUACACCCUGGACGGAGUGGAAUCAUCUUCUAACAUAGCUUAUAGUAUGCAUGCUAUAUACAGAAUAAAAUAUGUGGUAAAAUG